AUUGAACGCUGGCGGCAUGCCUUACACAUGCAAGUCGAACGGCAGCACGGGAGCAAUCCUGGUGGCGAGUGGCGAACGGGUGAGUAAAGUAUCGGAACGUGCCCAGUCGUGGGGGAUAACGUAGCGAAAGUUACGCUAAUACCGCAUACGAUCUAUGGAUGAAAGCGGGGGAUCGCAAGACCUCGCGCGAUUGGAGCGGCCGAUAUCAGAUGAGGUAGUUGGGGGGGUAAAGGCUCACCAAGCCGACGAUCUGUAGCUGGUCUGAGAGGACGACCAGCCACACUGGGACUGAGACACGGCCCAGACUCCUACGGGAGGCAGCAGUGGGGAAUUUUGGACAAUGGGCGCAAGCCUGAUCCAGCCAUGCCGCGUGCAGGAUGAAGGCCUUCGGGUUGUAAACUGCUUUUGUACGGAACGAAAAGGUUUGGCUUAAUACGUUGAACUCAUGACGGUACCGUAAGAAUAAGCACCGGCUAACUACGUGCCAGCCGCAGCCGCCG
rnacentral:rRNA from 1 species